rnacentral:rRNA from 1 species
ANNCAUGCGCUGCUACCAUGCAGUCGACGAUGACGGUGGUGCUUGCACCGCCUGAUUAGUGGCGAACGGGUGAGUAACACGUGAGUAACCUGCCCUCCACUUCGGGAUAACCUCGGGAAAUCGUGGCUAAUACCGGAUAUGAUCACUCAUCGCAUGGUGGGUGUUGGAAAGAUUUAUCGGUGGGGGAUGGACUCGCGGCCUAUCAGUUUGUUGGUGAGGUGAUGGCUCACCAAGACGAUGACGGGUAGCCGGCCUGAGAGGGCGACCGGCCACACUGGGACUGAGACACGGCCCAGACUCCUACGGGAGGCAGCAGUGGGGAAUAUUGCACAAUGGGCGAAAGCCUGAUGCAGCGACGCCGCGUGGGGGAUGACGGCCUUCGGGUUGUAAACCCCUUUCAGUAGGGAAGAAGCGAGAGUGACGGUACCUGCAGAAGAAGCGCCGGCUAACUACGUGCCAGCAGCCGCGGUAAUACGUAGGGCGCAAGCGUUGUCCGGAAUUAUUGGGCGUAAAGAGCUUGUAGGUGGCUUGUCGCGUCUGCCGUGAAAACCCGAGGCUCAACCUCGGGCGUGCGGUGGGUACGGGCAGGCUAGAGUGUGGUAGGGGAGACUGGAACUCCUGGUGUAGCGGUGAAAUGCGCAGAUAUCAGGAAGAACACCGAUGGCGAAGGCAGGUCUCUGGGCCAUUACUGACACUGAGAAGCGAAAGCAUGGGUAGCGAACAGGAUUAGAUACCCUGGUAGUCCAUGCCGUAAACGUUGGGCACUAGGUGUGGGGGACAUUCCACGUUUUCCGCGCCGUAGCUAACGCAUUAAGUGCCCCGCCUGGGGAGUACGGCCGCAAGGCUAAAACUCAAAGGAAUUGACGGGGGCCCGCACAAGCGGCGGAGCAUGCUGAUUAAUUCGAUGCAACGCGAAGAACCUUACCAAGGCUUGACAUGCACUGGACGGCUGCAGAGAUGUGGCUUUCUUUGGACUGGUGCACAGGUGGUGCAUGGUUGUCGUCAGCUCGUGUCGUGAGAUGUUGGGUUAAGUCCCGCAACGAGCGCAACCCUCGUUCUAUGUUGCCAGCACGUGAUGGUGGGACUCAUAGGAGACUGCCGGGGUCACUCGGAGAAGUGGGGGACGACGUCAAAUCAUCAUGCCCCUUAUGUCUUGGGCUUCAAGCAUGCCUACAUGUCGGNACAAUGGGNUGGCGAAACCUGNNAGGUGGANNGAAUUCCAAAAAGCCNGCCUUCAGUUCGGA